UCAGGUCUCUGUUAAUAAAGAAGGACUCCGAAAACGUGUUCGGAGAAUAAAUCUGGCUAUAUGCUGGAAAGACUCAAGUAUCCGACAGUACCGCAAGGUGAAAAUCUGAUCGGUGGAGUUAAUCAGCAGGAAAGAUCCUUUAGAGUAACUAAAGGAAAUCCUCACAGACUAUACGCCGGAGUGCAUUCAGUUUACAUGAACGUACAAGAUAUAGUCGGAACCUUGAAGCGAUUCAAGG
rnacentral:ncRNA from 1 species